GGACAGGUCAGCGACGCGUUUGCCGGAUUCGAGCGGGUGCGGUCGCCGAAACCGAAGGUCGCAGGUUCGAGCCCUGUCGCCCUGUCCG
rnacentral:tRNA from 1 species